AAUAGAUACCCCGGUAGUCCACCCCGUAAACGUUGGGAACUAGUUGUGGGGUCCUUUCCACGGAUUCCGUGACGCAGCUAACGCAUUAAGUUCCCCGCCUGGGGAGUACGGCCGCAAGGCUAAAACUCAAAGGAAUUGACGGGGACCCGCACAAGCGGCGGAGCAUGCGGAUUAAUUCGAUGCAACGCGAAGAACCUUACCAAGGCUUGACAUACACGAGAACACUCUGGAAACAGGGGACUCUUUGGACACUCGUGAACAGGUGGUGCAUGGUUGUCGUCAGCUCGUGUCGUGAGAUGUUGGGUUAAGUCCCGCAACGAGCGCAACCCUCGUUCUAUGUUGCCAGCACGUUAUGGUGGGAACUCAUGGGAUACUGCCGGGGUCAACUCGGAGGAAGGUGGGGAUGACGUCAAAUCAUCAUGCCCCUUAUGUCUUGGGCUUCACGCAUGCUACAAUGGCCGGUACAAAGGGCUGCAAUACCGUGAGGUGGAGCGAAUCCCAAAAAGCCGGUCCCAGUUCGGAUUGAGGUCUGCAACUCGACCUCA
rnacentral:rRNA from 1 species